rnacentral:misc_RNA from 1 species
AACAAGGCGUACCUGCGGACCUGCGGAAGGAUCAUUAACACAAUGAACAGGCUGCGUCCUUUCAUGUGCCGGCCCGUGUGCGUACGCGUGCACACCGACUGUGAGAGGCGCGCGCCUGGUGGAUUUCACAUCCAUUACCCCUGCGAACUUUGUUAAAGUCUUUACACAGUGAACUCAAUCACCCUGAUUGUUUUUUUCCACUGAAAGACUGUGGGUUUGCGUGAGUGUGUGCUGUGUGUC